AACGAACGCUGGCGGCAUGCCUAACACAUGCAAGUCGAACGAACCCUUCGGGGUUAGUGGCGCACGGGUGCGUAACACGUGGGAAUCUGCCCUUUGCUUCGGAAUAACAGUUAGAAAUGACUGCUAAUACCGGAUGAUGUCGUAAGACCAAAGAUUUAUCGGCAAAGGAUGAGCCCGCGUAGGAUUAGGUAGUUGGUGGGGUAAAAGGCCUACCAAGCCGACGAUCCUUAGCUGGUCUGAGAGGAUGAUCAGCCACACUGGGACUGAGACACGGCCCAGACUCCUACGGGAGGCAGCAGUGGGGAAUAUUGGACAAUGGGCGAAAGCCUGAUCCAGCAAUGCCGCGUGAGUGAUGAAGGCCUUCGGGUUGUAAAGGACUCUUUUACCAGGGAUGAUAAUGACAGUACCUGGAGAAUAAGACUCCGGCGUAACUACCGUGCCAGCAGCCGCGGUAAU
rnacentral:rRNA from 1 species